GAACGCUGGCGGCAGGCCUAACACAUGCAAGUCGAGCGGUAGCACAGAGAGCUUGCUCUCGGGUGACGAGCGGCGGACGGGUGAGUAAUGUCUGGGAAACUGCCUGAUGGAGGGGGAUAACUACUGGAAACGGUAGCUAAUACCGCAUAAUGUCGCAAGACCAAAGUGGGGGACCUUCGGGCCUCAUGCCAUCAGAUGUGCCCAGAUGGGAUUAGCUAGUAGGUGGGGUAAUGGCUCACCUAGGCGACGAUCCCUAGCUGGUCUGAGAGGAUGACCAGCCACACUGGAACUGAGACACGGUCCAGACUCCUACGGGAGGCAGCAGUGGGGAAUAUUGCACAAUGGGCGCAAGCCUGAUGCAGCCAUGCCGCGUGUGUGAAGAAGGCCUUCGGGUUGUAAAGCACUUUCAGCGGGGAGGAAGGCGUUAAGGUUAAUAACCUUGGCGAUUGACGUUACCCGCAGAAGAAGCACCGGCUAACUCCGUGCCAGCAGCCGCGGUAAUACGGAGGGUGCAAGCGUUAAUCGGAAUUACUGGGCGUAAAGCGCACGCAGGCGGUCUGUCAAGUCGGAUGUGAAAUCCCCGGGCUCAACCUGGGAACUGCAUUCGAAACUGGCAGGCUAGAGUCUUGUAGAGGGGGGUAGAAUUCCAGGUGUAGCGGUGAGAUGCGUAGAGAUCUGGAGGAAUACCGGUGGCGAAGGCGGCCCCCUGGACAAAGACUGACGCUCAGGUGCGAAAGCGUGGGGAGCAAACAGGAUUAGAUACCCUGGUAGUCCACGCCGUAAACGAUGUCGAUUUGGAGGUUGUGCCCUUGAGGCGUGGCUUCCGGAGCUAACGCGUUAAAUCGACCGCCUGGGGAGUACGGCCGCAAGGUUAAAACUCAAAUGAAUUGACGGGGGCCCGCACAAGCGGUGGAGCAUGUGGUUUAAUUCGAUGCAACGCGAAGAACCUUACCUGGUCUUGACAUCCACAGAACUUAGCAGAGAUGCUUUGGUGCCUUCGGGAACUGUGAGACAGGUGCUGCAUGGCUGUCGUCAGCUCGUGUUGUGAAAUGUUGGGUUAAGUCCCGCAACGAGCGCAACCCUUAUCCUUUGUUGCCAGCGGUUAGGCCGGGAACUCAAAGGAGACUGCCAGUGAUAAACUGGAGGAAGGUGGGGAUGACGUCAGGUCAUCAUGGCCCUUACGACCAGGGCUACACACGUGCUACAAUGGCAUAUACAAAGAGAAGCGACCUCGCGAGAGCAAGCGGACCUCAUAAAGUAUGUCGUAGUCCGGAUUGGAGUCUGCAACUCGACUCCAUGAAGUCGGAAUCGCUAGUAAUCGUAGAUCAGAAUGCUACGGUGAAUACGUUCCCGGGCCUUGUACACACCGCCCGUCGCACCAUGGGAGUGGGUUGCAAAAGAAGUAGGUAGCUUAACCUUCGGGAGGGCGCUUACCACUUUGUGAUUCAUGACUGGG
rnacentral:rRNA from 1 species